AAUUAUGUGAGGAUAUUUUGGGUACAAAAAGUUCAUUCUGGAUUGAUCAUUCCCAAACCCACUUCCUCCCUUAGUAUUAUAAAUUCCGGUUAUCAAGGAAUCAAUUCUGGGUUUGAAGGUGGGACCCACAGCAACUCAUAUUCCACCAUGAGCAAGUAAACAUUAAUUCUUUUAUCCCGUAAUCAUUCCCACAUAUUUCAAUUCUAUUCCAGAUAAAUAAAUGUGUCAUAAACAUAAUGACCGAAAGGGGAAACGUUUGGUUUCAUUUGGAUCGGUGCAGCGUCUGUUGUGUCAGCCGGAGGAAUCUAAUGUGGUGUAAAUCAAAAGCCAGUUGGGUUUGAAGGCUUGCGGGGACAAUAAUUUCAUAUCAAAUUUUAUAAAUUACUUGCUUCAAUUAGAGUCUCUCAAAGUUGGCCGUUGUUAGGUGGACGAAGACAGAGGCGUCAAGGAAGCCGAAUGUCAAUGAGAAGGCAUGCAGUGCUGGUGGCAGGGUGACACGUGUUAUUGAAGCUGGAAAGGCUAGAUGCUUAGAUCCUCCGGUCGGCCUAAUCUGAACAAAAAUAAGGGGUUUGGCUCAUUUUUUAGGCCUUGCCUUAGGUUUUAUUUUAUUUAUGUUUUAAUUCAUUUAUAUUAUUUAAUUCAUUUACGUCUUAGACGAACAAUGAACCCCUAUAUUUUUUGUGCUUGUUAGAAUAACUAUCAGAUGUAGAGAAUGUUGAUGUUAUAUCGCAACAUAUGCUUAUUUCCACAAAAACAAGGAUUUAGACUUAAUGCCUUUAAGUUGUAUUUUACAGUUUGAUUAAUUAUUAAUCGAAUCUAAAUGGAGCCGCCCAGCUCUUUAUUUAAAAGAUAAAUACGUAUUUAAGCAGCGGUCGGUUUCUUCUACCAAGUUUUCCAAAAAUGGCAACUUUGGUUAUUUGGUGGAAAACGGAACCCCUUUCCUAGGUGAGAGGUUGAAGAGUCAACGUAUCCUCUCUUUUUUUGGUCAAACAACGUAUCCUCUUUGGUAAAUAAACCUUGAGAUAGAAUAAGGCUACAGUAGUUGGACUCUCCGUACGACAAGC
rnacentral:lncRNA from 1 species